GGGGCUGACCGGAAUUGACGGGAUGUGCAAUAGGCGCGUAAGCAUGCCGAGACUUGGGAUAUUGGCUCGUAAAUCACAAUACCCGAACAAUCAAUUGGCGAAAAUCAAUUCGCUAUGGCUGCCUAAUCAGGAAGAUUACGCACUAGCCAUUGUCUCGUAAGUGUUAGCUUAACCGCAUUUACAUCAGAGGCAUCGUUUGGAAAAGCCUGAUGAGCUGUGGCCUUUACUUCGCAUCAGUACCCAAGAGGAUAAGGGUAGGUUUGGCCCGUAACACAGCCUGACCAACCACGAAAAAUAAUGUGUCACUCAGCAUGAAGAAAGCGUGACCGUUCCAUCUCCGGACCGGGGUUCGACUCCCCGCAGCUCCACCA
rnacentral:tmRNA from 2 species